rnacentral:lncRNA from 10 species
CCCGCGCCGGCCCGCCAGGGGGACGCCGGCCCCGCUCUGGGCGUCACUGCGCGCCCCGGCUACGCGCGCCCCGGCAUCCGCGAGAGAGGCGCGCGCCCGCCACCGCUGGGGGCUCCAGCCGCCCGCCGACCCGGGCCUGGCAGAGGGGACGCGGCGCCCAAGCCGCUCCUCCGGAUGGCGACAGAGACGGCCUGACGCGCCCGCAGCCUGGGCCCCCCACGGGGAGGACGGCCGGGCCAGGUGUGCCCUGUUACCCAAAAUCGGGCUUGUGCAGUGGGGUCCCUGAGUCCACUGGGAGCACAGCCUCAGACCCCAGCAGAGUCACCCUUCAUCGGAAGCCCACCACCCUGAGGGCUCCUCCUCCACCUGGGGCGGCACUGCCAGGCACAGGCACGCACUUUCCCUCAGUCCUCUGCCCCACGAUCACUCUACUCGGGCACCUCUGCCACUGCCUGGUCCUUGCUGAGCCAUCUCCUGGUUCAUCUCCCUGGAGUCCCUGCAGGACCGGCUCUCAGUGGCGUCUCCGGGCUCCCAGUCCCAGGACUGGUCCUAUCCAGCCCAGGAGAUACGCUCCCCAGUCCAGGAUGUCCAGAUGGCCCUGCUGCCUGGAGAGGCUCUGGCCCCUGCCGGGCUGGGGGCUUGAGCACCCCAGGAGAUUCUUUUGGCGCUGGAGACCCUUUUCUGAGGAGCCAGUAGAGGGCCUGCAAGUCAGAUUGAGCAACCAGGGAGAAGAAGCAUCAUCCCUUCAUCUUGAGGCCUGGUCCAGGGAGGUGAAGGGAUGUGGACUGUCCCCAGCCGUACACUCACCCACAACUCAUGCAUGCAAGCAUUCAUGCCCCAAUGCACACACAGCACCACACACACACAUAUUUUCCUUGAAUCUCUCUCUCUCUCUCUCACACACACACACACACACACACACACACACACUCUCCCAUCCACACACACACAACACUUUAGGAGAAACUGAGCAAAGAAAGGCAGCCUCUCACUGCGAGUCCUCUAACCCCCGUCCCAGUGGUUGUUGUGCACUGAAGCUUCCUUGCCAGGGGCUCUGACGGGAUUCUUGUGUUAAUAUGAUUGUGUCCAUGCUUGUUUUCUCCCAUCAAUUUUGAAUCCUGUUUAAUUAAAACGCUGACUUUCCUGUUUAGUAUCUUCUCAACUGCAGCUUCUCCCCGCUCUCUUUCCUGGCAGGGAGGUGAUUCUGCAGAAGUUGGGGCUCCUGACAACUUUGGGGUGGCCAUGAGGGACGUACCUCUUGCCUCUGGAUGUGCAGGAUUCCAAUUCAUCCUGUCCAUCCCGAACUCCUGUGCCAGACAUUCCUUCAUUCAACCUCUGUUUAUUGAGCAACUACUUGGGCCAGGCACUGGGACUGGGGAAGCCAACAAGACAUAGAUUUUCUGUCCCCCUGGAAAGUGACAGUCAGUUUGAGAAACAGACAAGGAAACAAACAAUUCCAGUGCAGUGUGGCAAGCGUCACGAUGGGAGGGAGAGGAGAGCACUCUUGGAGCACAAGAGAGGAGCAUUUACCCUAAAAUCACACUCUAGAACACAGCAAGGUGUGUGCCAGGGAAGGCUUCCAGGAGACUGGUUUCCAGGCCCUUUUGGUCCAUCCUUAGGACAAACACACACACACAUGCACACAUAUAUGCACAUACAUGAACACACACACGCACGUGAACACACAGGCACACACAUCCACACACACGCACAUACAUGCACACACAUGCUUUAACACACAUGCACACACGCAUGCACAAACAUGCUUGGAGUGAAACUUUCCGAAGCAAUAUUUACCCCAAAAAUACUCUGAUGUUUUCUAUUGUAUCCUAAUUCAUUUUUGAAAUGCUGGUUGCCCUCCCAAUAAUUUGGUUUAUAGUAAUUUUCUUUCUUUAAAAAAUAUGGUUUGAAGAGAGAUGCAGUCUACCUUGACUUUGGGAGGGUAUAUUGGAGGCUUCUUGCCAAAGGACAGGGGCUGUGGUGACAAUGGGGUGGCUGGGGAGGGCUCCCAAGCAGAGGAGAAGGGGUGCAGUGCGGUACCCGGCCUGCUGUAUCCAGGAACUCAGACACUGAGGUUUUUGUGCUCGCAACAUUAGGGCUAUGGCGGGGAACCUUGGGCUAUGGGAGAGCAGUGCCUGGUUCAUUACAUGCUGAAUAUUUCCAGAAAAAGGGAAUGGAAGGGGAGCCCUUGGUGCUUAUGACUUGGAGUCUAGAAUGGUGGAGAGUCUGAAAAUGGUGACGCUAGAAAAGGUGAAUUCUCCACCCCAGGUUACAAGUAGACGGACCUGAGGAGUGGGGAGGCAGGGGGGAGGUGUGGGGUCCGAGAUCAGAUUGAAGAGAUGGGGUCUCCCUGGGACAGCAACCUUGAGGUAAUUACAAAGACACCACCCC